rnacentral:rRNA from 1 species
UACGUAGGGGGCUAGCGUUGUCCGGAAUCAUUGGGCGUAAAGCGCACGUAGGCGGCUUUCUAAGUCAGGGGUGAAAUCCUGGAGCUCAACUCCAGAACUGCCUUUGAUACUGGAGAGCUUGAGUCCGGAAGAGGUGAGUGGAACUCCGAGUGUAGAGGUGAAAUUCGUAGAUAUUCGGAAGAACACCAGUGGCGAAGGCGGCCCACUGGUCCGGUACUGACGCUGAGGUGCGAAAGCGUGGGGAGCAAACAGG